rnacentral:rRNA from 1 species
GACGAACGCUGGCGGCGUGCUUAACACAUGCAAGUCGAACGAUGAAACCUAGCUUGCUAGGUCGAUUAGCGGCGAACGGGUGAGUAACACGUGACUAACCUGCCCCUUUCUCUGGGACAACGCUCCGAAAGGAGUGCUAAUACCGGAUACUCACAUCGAGGCACAUGCCUUGGUGUGGAAAGUUCUUCGGAAAGGGAUGGAGUCGCGGCCUAUCGGCUUGUUGGUGGGGUAACGGCUCACCAAGGCAACGAUGCGUAGCCGACCUGAGAGGGGGAUCGGCCACACGGGGACUGAGACACGGCCCAGACUCCUACGGGAGGCAGCAGUAGGGAAUCUUCCGCAAUGGACGAAAGUCUGACGGAGCAACGCCGCGUGAGUGAUGAAGGCUUUCGGGUCGUAAAACUCUGUUGUUAGGGAAGAACAAGGGCUAGUUGAAUAAGCUGGCACCUUGACGGUACCUAACCAGAGAGCCACGGCUAACUACGUGCCAGCCGCCGCAGUAA